GCGGACGUAGUGCACGGUGCACCGCUGCCAUCUGUGAAAUGGGAUAGUUUAAUUGUACAGUGAAGCAGCUCCGGGGUUCGACUCCCCGCGUCCGCA